AUUGAACGCUGGCGGCAGGCCUAACACAUGCAAGUCGAGCGGGGUUUUCGGACCUAGCGGCGGACGGGUGAGUAAUGCGUAGGAAGCUACCCGGUAGAGGGGGAUACCAGUUGGAAACGACUGUUAAUACCGCAUAAUGUCUACGGACCAAAGUGUGGGACCUUCGGGCCACAUGCUAUCGGAUGCGCCUACGUGGGAUUAGCUAGUUGGUGGGGUAAUGGCUCACCAAGGCGACGAUCCCUAGCUGGUUUGAGAGGAUGAUCAGCCACACUGGAACUGAGACACGGUCCAGAGUCCUACGGGAGGCAGCAGUGGGGAAUAUUGGACAAUGGGCGCAAGCCUGAUCCAGCCAUGCCGCGUGUGUGGAGAAGGCCUUCGGGUUGUAAAGCACUUUCAGUAGGGAGGAAGGGUGUUGUGUUAAUAGCACAGCAUUUUGACGUUACCUACAGAAGAAGCACCGGCUAACUCUGUGCCAGCCGCCGCAGUAAUAC
rnacentral:rRNA from 1 species